AACGAACGCUGUCGACAUGCUUAACACAUGCAAGUCGUACGGGUAUAACUUGUUAUACCAGUGGCAAACGGGUGAGUAAUGCGUAGGAAUGUACCCAAUAGUCUCGAAUAACAAUUGGAAACGAUUGAUAAUACGAGAUACAAUGGAACAUGGGAACAUGUAACAUGAAAGGUUCAGCAAUGGACUGCUAUAGGAGCAGCCUACGAUGGAUUAGAUAGUUGGUGAGGUAAAGGCUUACCAAGUCGAAGAUCCAUAGCUGGUCUGAGAGGAUGAACAGCCACAUUGGGACUGAGACACGGCCCAGACUUC
rnacentral:rRNA from 1 species